AUCCAGUUGACGAGUCCCAAAUAGGACGAAACGCGUGUCCUGGAU
rfam:Schistosoma mattheei strain Denwood, Zambia genome assembly, scaffold: SMTD_scaffold0000486